CAGACUUACAGAACAACAAGCUUUUCACAGUUUUAACCAUUUUACCAAAUAAUACGAUAGUCUAGGGUAUUUAUAUCCCAAUUUCUAAACCAGUUACAAAGUUGUAUCUUCUUAGGUCCUAAUUGGAACCAAACAACCCAGACACUGGUAACAUAAUCAAAACACCAUUUACCAUUUCUGUAAUGCCCUGAACACACCAUGUUCCCAAAGGAUUUCUUACUGAGAGAUGUUUGAGUGUUAUCCUUUCCAAAACAACCUGUCAACUAGCUCUGAUUCUUAGCUCAAAAUAAGGAAUUUUUCAUUCAAGGAACCACUUAAUACAUACUGAGCUACUGUUCUCAGCCAUCAACAAAUUCAACUUGCUGUGCUCCACACCUGACUUAGCUUUGGUUUCAUCAGUACUUCCUAUUUGUAGAAGACAAACUUCCUUCUGAACUCCUUAUAAAUUCCCAUCAUGACCUGGAGGACUGGGGAAGAGCGAUGGCUUUUUUGUAGUUGGGGACUCUGGAAAGGGCAGAGACUUAAGUUUGAAGCCAUAAAGGAGAAAAAGCAAGUUCUUCCCUGUUCUGCUAAUGAAAUACUUGUAGGUCAAGACCAGCAAAUUCUGGUUCUGAAAUUCUAUUACACUAUUUUCAAUACAUUCAGAUUUAUAUUACUCUUUACUUUCUUCUCCCCGAGUGUGGAUUUACAGUUUGGUAGAGGUACUUUAAGAGGUAGUUAUGGGGGUGAAAAGGAAACAGUGUUUACAUAUAGCAGCACAUCAUUUUCAUCUCUACUUUGCUCUUUCCCUGAAGGAGGAAAUCCAGGGCCUCCUACAUGCUAUACAAGCACCUUACACUAAGCUAUGUCUCUAGCCUGAUUCCUGUCUGCUUGGACAUAUUGUAGUGCAUCAACCCCAGUGUUACCAUCACUGUUCAUAAAAGUAGCCCUUCCAACUAAGCUCUGCACAUUGUGUUUGAUAUCAAAAAGAAAGGCUCAACCCAGAACUUUCAUUGAGCUAGUCAUUAGGGAAAAUGCACACAACUUCCAACAUCCCAAGGAUGCCUUUUUCUCUGGACCUGGCUUAUGAAGUCAUCCCUGUCAGCUCUGUGGACUCUGAGGAUGGGUGUUAGGGAUCCUGACAGCAGGAGAAAGAUGGUCCUGGCUGCCAGCCUCAGGAUAGGCUGCUGGAACACUCCCGUGUGAGCUCCUUUUGACAGGGGUUGCCAAGGCACAUGAGCCGGAUACUCUCAGGGAGAGGCAGCACUUCUACAGAGCAGGCCCUGCAGAAGGUCCUUCUGCAGUCCUUACACACAUUCAGAUACAUUUGGGCUGUUGUCCUGGCACAGCUGACACACUUGGGGCUUCCAGCAGAGCAACAGCUGACCCUGUUCAUCUGUAGGGUGAGACUGCAGCCUGUGACUUUCUUCCAGGGGCUUUUUUAGUUUAACAUUUUCCUCUUGAAUUUUGUGCCUCUCAUCCAAGUUGGGGUC
rnacentral:lncRNA from 1 species